ensembl:lncRNA
AGUAACUCAUUUGAUGUCAUGGACCCCUUAAAAACAGACUCAACUUGUCUAAUGGAUGCAGCAGUUUUAAUGGAGUGUUUGAUUCUGUCUCUCAUUGUCUUCCUCUUGUUUUCCAGAUCACGGUGCAGAUUGAAGUUACAUGUUCUGUCAUGGAGGAAAACCUUUCUAUGUCUGCCUGAGGCCACACAGAUCAGCCUGAGAUUCAUGUUGAAGUUUAAUUCAUGCUCUGAAUUGAUAAACGUCCUCUCCGCUGCACACAUAGUCGUUGAAGUCCAAAAGCACCAUUGA